rnacentral:lncRNA from 1 species
AGGAAGCCCAUGAUAUGAAGUGCUGGCGGCUGUGAGCGAUACGACACAGUAGGAAGGACUGUCUUUUUCCAGAUCAGGAAGAAAGAACCACUGUGAAAAAUGGGCUACCUUUCAACAUAGCAAUGAGGAGCAGAAAAAAGAAAACAAGCUAGCAGGGGGGAUAAACACCUUCAGCAAUAAGACGUCUGACGGUGAGUGUCUAUGCAGUUAAUGAAAAAACUGUGACUUUCCUGUGGCUCAU